rnacentral:lncRNA from 1 species
GUGUAUGUAUAUUUUAGAUUAAUAGAUGUGUAUGUAUUUUUUAUUUUUGUUUUACAAUUUUUUUGGCAAAACGGUGAAUAACCGUUAGGAACGAUUAUAAUCGUAACCGGAUCGGUAUAGAGAUGAAACUAAAUCUGUUAUCAAAAUGAAAACGGGUAUGGUUAUGGUUAAUAAUCGCCGCAAAAGUGGAUGAAUAAUGGUAUGCCAUAACCAUCCUCGAACCUCCCCGUUGCCAACCUACUCAAUUUUUUGGUCACCCAUAAAGUGC